rnacentral:rRNA from 1 species
UACGUAGGGGGCAAGCGUUGUCCGGAAUCAUUGGGCGUAAAGCGCGCGUAGGCGGCCCUGUAAGUCCGUUGUGAAAGUCAAAGGCUCAACCUUUGAAAGCCGAUGGAUACUGCAGGGCUAGAGUCCGGAAGAGGCGAGUGGAAUUCCUGGUGUAGCGGUGAAAUGCGCAGAUAUCAGGAGGAACACCGGUGGCGAAGGCG